GGACCCGCACAAGCAGCGGAGCAUGUGGUUUAAUUCGAAGCAACGCGAAGAACCUUACCAAGGCUUGACAUCCCCUUGACAGGUACAGAGAUGUACAAUCAUUUUCGAAUGCAAGGGAGACAGGUGGUGCAUGGUUGUCGUCAGCUCGUGUCGUGAGAUGUUGGGUUAAGUCCCGCAACGAGCGCAACCCUUAUCCUUAGUUGCCAGCACAUAUGGUGGGCACUCUAAGGAGACUGCCGGUGAUAAACCGGAGGAAGGUGGGGAUGACGUCAAAUCAUCAUGCCCCUUAUGUCUUGGGCUACACACGUGCUACAAUGGUCGGUACAACGGGAAGCGAAGAAGUGAUUUGGAGCAAAUCCCAAUAAACCGAUCCCAGUUCGGAUUGCAGGCUGCAACUCGCCUGCAUGAAGUCGGAGUUGCUAGUAAUCGCGAAUCAGAACGUCGCGGUGAAUGCGUUCCCGGGUCUU
rnacentral:rRNA from 1 species